AAGCCUGAUCCAGCCAUGCCGCGUGAGUGACGAAGGCCUUAGGGUUGUAAAGCUCUUUUGCCGGGGACGAUAAUGACGGUACCCGGAGAAUAAGUCCCGGCUAACUUCGUGCCAGCAGCCGCGGUAAUAA
rnacentral:rRNA from 1 species